rnacentral:lncRNA from 1 species
UAAACGCCGCUUAGACCGUAUUAUAGAACACUGAAAGAAACCAAAUUAGAAUCCUCUAAGAAGUCCAUGCUUGUCCUCUCUCGUCAAACAAAAUCAAUUUCAUACGGAGUAGUUUUAACGUCUCUUUCAACUUUUCAAACACAGCUUCUCAAUUCACUUUGUUUAGCUUAUAAACUUUGGAACCUCUAACAAAAGGUCAAAAUCUUAAAAAGUCUUGGUCUCGGUUUAAAGAAAGUAACGCAGAACUGGGAGAUGCGGUACCAGUAAUCAUCGUGAUAUACAAGUGUCAAU